rnacentral:rRNA from 1 species
UACGUAGGGGGCAAGCGUUGUCCGGAAUUAUUGGGCGUAAAGAGCUCGUAGGCGGUCUGUUGCGUCCGCUGUGAAAACCCGGGGCUUAACCCCUGGCUUGCAGUGGAUACGGACAGACUAGAGGUAGGUAGGGGAGAAUGGAAUUCCCGGUGUAGCGGUGAAAUGCGCAGAUAUCGGGAGGAACACCGGUGGCGAAGGCGGUUCUCUGGGCCCUACCUGGACGCUGAGGAGCGAAAGCGUGGGGAGCGAACAGG